rnacentral:misc_RNA from 1 species
AAAGCACGAAGGGGAGCCUGGGCUCCCCUUCAAGGUUUCUUUGCAUGCUCUUUUUUGUUUUUCGGGAGGCCUUUUAUUGUUUUUGGCGACCUGGCCCUUCACAUCUUUUUUGAGCGACCCCCAUUCGGGAUCAAGAGCAAACGUAUUUUUUUGAGCGCUGAUAUCGCUUUUAUCGUGUCGAUCCAACCAGUUCCGGAGCUACCUGAAGGUAGUU